CCAGGCAAGACAAGCGCUGCCAGUCUGCUUGGAGAUUCAGACAUUUCUUACUUUUCGUGCCUGCAGCUAGAAACCACAAGCAGAGAUGAGGAGUAAACUACAAAGGUCAAACUCCACUCCACCAGAUUCAUUUUAGAAAGUGAUUUAUACUCCCCCCUUUUUUUUUUUUUUUUCUUUCAACCUUUGCAAUGUUUUCCAGCCCACCAAACAGGCUUUGAUGCUUGGGGUUAGAAUGACUCAAUUUUGUGAAUUCAUCCACAUUACUGAAAAGUGGUUUAACCACCUUGGGGAAUUGGACUGUUGGUUUUUGUCUUUCAUCAUGCUGUACAGCUUUUUUU